rnacentral:ncRNA from 1 species
UUGGACGGAAAAGUGAUAUCUAACCAUGGGUCUUUGGAAGAAUGAGUCGAUGACUCGUAGGCAGUGGCUUGUCUAAGAGAAUGAAACCCAUCAAAGUCAUAGCAAAAGCCAGUCUUCGUAGGGAAAUUGUCACCGCUUAUGGACCGGAACCUAGUCCAUGACCAGGAUAAAGCUUGAAUGAAACUAAAUAGAGAUCUAAACCAAAUGAUGUUCAAGAAUCCAUGGAUGAAUUGUGAUUAGGGGGUGAAAUGCCACUCAACCCAUAGUUGACUACAUUAAGGGGUUAUAAAAGAAACAAAACUAAAAUAUUUAC